rnacentral:rRNA from 1 species
ACUCCCAAACCCACUGUGAACCUUACCUCAGUUGCCUCGGCGGGAACGCCCCGGCCGCCUGCCCCCGCGCCGGCGCCGGACCCAGGCGCCCGCCGCAGGGACCCCAAACUCUCUUGCAUUACGCCCAGCGGGCGGAAUUUCUUCUCUGAGUUGCACAAGCAAAAACAAAUGAAUCAAAACUUUCAACAACGGAUCUCUUGGUUCUGGCAUCGAUGAAGAACGCAGCGAAAUGCGAUAAGUAAUGUGAAUUGCAGAAUUCAGUGAAUCAUCGAAUCUUUGAACGCACAUUGCGCCCGCCAGCAUUCUGGCGGGCAUGCCUGUUCGAGCGUCAUUUCAACCCUCGAGCCCCCCCGGGGGCCUCGGUGUUGGGGGACGGCACACCAGCCGCCCCCGAAAUGCAGUGGCGACCCCGCCGCAGCCUCCCCUGCGUAGUAGCACACACCUCGCACCGGAGCGCGGAGGCGGUCACGCCGUAAAACGCCCAACUUUCUUAGAGUUGACCUCGGAUCAGGUAGGAAUACCCGCUGAACUUAAGCAUAUCAAUAG